UAGCUGGACUCCACCCAGCAUUUCCGCAUUUAGUGCACUGUUUCCUAUCCUCAGAAGAGCUGUUUCCCAAUAACCCAUUCAUUAUUCCACUUUUCCUUUUUUGCUUUCUACACAAAGACCCCUAUCAGACAAGUCUCAAUCAGGUUCCCUUCGUCUCCUCCUAUCCUCUCUGACGUUUCUUGCUCAGGGAUCUUUCCGAUCAGAAAGAGAAGCCACCUCCUCAUGGAUCUCUGUUCUGAGACCAAGUAUGUCCCCCGAUGCAUUCCUGGCCACCAUCCUUGGAUUGAUUUUGCCUGAAAGGCAUCAAAAGCGGCGUCAAAAUUAACUUUGAUAGUCGAAACAUCUGGUAGGCACCAACCCGCAACCUCAUGGUUCAUGGUAAAGUUUAGGAUCUCCAACCCCUCUAAUUCCUUAAUAUGUUUGUUUAUCCAUAUAGCAACUUCUUGACCCGUACUGUUUUUUCCUUCAUGUAAUCAUUUGUUUCUGGCUAUCCAAAUCGCCCACAUAGAGUAGCAAAAAACUCGACACUGAGUGUUGGAACUAUUUUUGAACACCCAGGGCAUUCCUUGAAGAUAUGGUCGAUGUUUUCAGCCGUUGUACCACAUCUGGGGCAGACUACCACUGAGAGCAAUCUCUUGCACCAUAGAUUAACAAAAUGGGGAAUAAAAUUCCAUGAAAUUUUCUAGAUUAGAAUUUUUAUUUUCGCUUGAAUGUUAAUAUUCCAUAAUUUUGUGUAAAAUAAAUUAGCGUUGGUCUGUAAAUAAUUAGGAAAGCCCUGUAAUAGUUUGUAAGCACUUCUCACCGAGAAUUCUCCAGAGGCCUCCCCCUUCCAUACCAUGAAGUCCUCAUGAGGUAUCUUUGCUAGAGGGAUUCACACAAUUCUGUUAGCUUCUUCUCUAGAGAAGGUAGAAAAAACUCAAAUCAGGCUUCCAUUCUCUCUUUUGUUCAUCAAUAAGUUUUGCAACUUUGCUUAGUUCACUGGCAUUUCUAAAGGAUUCUACCUUGUAACUUUCGGUUCCAUGAAGCCACGCAUCACCAGUAAUUGAAAUAUUCAUACCCGUUCCCACUUUCCAACAAA